GCCAGACUCCUACGGGAGGCAGCAGUGGGGAAUAUUGCACAAUGGGGGAAACCCUGAUGCAGCGACGCCGCGUGAGUGAAGAAGUAUCUCGGUACGUAAAGCUCUAUCAGCAGGGAAGAAAAUGACGGUACCUGACCAAGAAGCCCCGGCUAACUACGUGCCAGCAGCCGCGGUAAUACGUAGGGGGCAAGCGUUAUCCGGAUUCACUGGGCGUAAAGGGAGCGUAGACGGCGACGCAAGUCUGGAGUGAAAGCCCGGGGCCCAGCCCCGGGACUGCUCUGGAAACUGCGUCGCUGGAGUACGGGAGGGGCAGGCGGAAUUCCUGGUGUAGCGGUGAAAUGCGUAGAUAUCAGGAGGAACACCGGCGGCGAAGGCGGCCUGCUGGACCGUGACUGACGUUGAGGCUCGAGAGCGUGGGGAGCAAACAGGAUUAGAUACCCGCGUAGA
rnacentral:rRNA from 1 species